rnacentral:rRNA from 1 species
GACGAACGCUGGCGGCGUGCCUAAUACAUGCAAGUCGAGCGGACGUUGUUGGAGCUUGCUCCAAUAACGUCAGCGGCGGACGGGUGAGUAACACGUGGGCAACCUGCCUUAACGACUGGGAUAACUCCGGGAAACCGGGGCUAAUACCGGAUAACAUCUAGCACCUCCUGGUGCAAGAUUAAAAGAGGGCCUCUGGCUCUCACGUUAAGAUGGGCCCGCGGCGCGUUAGCGAGUUGGAGAGGUAAUGGCUCCCCAAGGCGACGAUGCGUAGCCGACCUGAGAGGGUGAUCGGCCACACUGGGACUGAGACACGGCCCAGACUCCUACGGGAGGCAGCAGUAGGGAAUCUUCCGCAAUGGACGAAAGUCUGACGGAGCAACGCCGCGUGAGUGAAGAAGGGUUUCGGCUCGUAAAGCUCUGUUAUGAGGGAAGAACACGUACCGUUCGAAUAGGGCGGUACCUUGACGGUACCUCAUCAGAAAGCCACGGCUAACUACGUGCCAGCCGCCGCCGUAA